rnacentral:lncRNA from 1 species
GUUAGAGAGCCUAGGGCAGGCCUGUGGAUCAGCCGAGUGGAUCUGAGGUGAGACGGGUGGACCAGAGUAGAGGCUGGAGACUGCCCCAGGAUGAGGGACAGAUCAGAGAGGGUGGGGUCCUAGAUCCGAAUUUCAGGGCUUUCUGAAACAGAUGGGGCUGGAGAGGUUCUUGGUUAAAGCAUCCACUUUCUGGACAGAGUCACUCAGGGCUGUGUGUGGGUGGGAAGCUUCCUGGUAUAGUCACAUGUUGCCUGACUGGAGGGACGUGGAAAGGACUCCACAAACACCAGACGUCAUAGCUGUUUUUACAAUCUUUGAAGUUGGUUAGACUCCAGUAUGUUAAUGUCAGUCAGAAGGCGGUUGGUAGGAAAGGAGUCUUUAGCGGGGUAAGGAAAGGACUUUAAGAUUCUAAAUCUACGUCUUGUAAACACCCAAGGAUAUCCAAUUUUCAAAACGAGUUGAAAAUCUUUGUCCCAGAAAUAAUGACGUCAAGACCGUGACCUAAAGUCUGUGAAGUCAUCAGCUGAAGUAAGCCACCCUGCCUUUAAGUUGAUGUUGUUAGGUACGCUGUGAUGGAAAGCAAACGAAACGUGAACAUAGUUUCGCCAGACUGUGAUGGGUGAUGUGCACUGUGGCACUGGACUGUGCUAAUAAGUAAAUAGCAAGUUUGUUUCAUAAGCUUAGAAACAUCUGUUCUGGGCGGGGCAUGAGAUCGCUGAAAGAUGGAGGAAAGGAGAAACAGCAGUAACAAACCUCCAAACCAACAGGCCCAUCCCCCAGCCAGGGACUGGAGAAGAGAGAGGGUGAUGGGAGAGAAACAGGAAAGCAAGCAGCCUGUCGUUGCUGCUGUGGUGGUGCACAGCUGUAAUCCCAGCACCUGAGGGAUGAAGGCUGGAGGACCAGGUCAAGGCCGUUAAGGGGGUUCUAGGCUAGCCUGGAUUACAAAACAUUCUGUCGCAAAACUCAAGCUACCGACAAACAUGAGAUGGAUUAAAACAAAACAAUUUAAACCAGAGAUAAACUAGAAGAUGUAACUGAGAUACAGACCGUAGGCAUUAAAAAGGUGGGAAGGCGGUCCUAGCACCAGAGACAAUGCGAGAAGACUGCCAGACAAAGAGAGAACUUUGCAUUUUUACACAGUGAAUG